AACGCGAAGAACCUUACCAGGGCUUGACAUUGAGUGAAAGACUUAGAGAUAGGUCCCUCUCUUCGGAGACACGAAAACAGGUGGUGCAUGGCUGUCGUCAGCUCGUGUCGUGAGAUGUUGGGUUAAGUCCCGCAACGAGCGCGACCCCUAUCAUUUGUUGCCAGCACGUCAAGGUGGGAACUCAAAUGAGACUGCCGCGGACAACGCGGAGGAAGGCGGGGAUGACGUCAAGUCAUCAUGCCCCUUAUGUCCUGGGCUACACACGUACUACAAUGGGAUGGACAGAGAGCAGCGAACCCGCGAGGGCAAGCGAACCCCAUAAACCAUCUCCCAGUUCGGAUUGCAGGCUGCAACUCGCCUGCAUGAAGUCGGAAUCGCUAGUAAUCGCAGGUCAGCAUACUGCGGUGAAUACGUUCCCGGGUCUUGUACACACCG
rnacentral:rRNA from 1 species